AUUUCGUAGACGUGGCGAUGUUAUCGUUGACAGGAUCGGUUUACUUUUAGCUGAGCUCAACAAAGGAAACGCAAAUGACAGUCGAUGAAUGCAAGAUACGAGAAGCAUAACAAACCUCUCGCAGAUGAGACGCAUGCGAUCAAUUUUGCUGACGCGGUAUACGCGAAGAGGAGAGCGAACAGUGCGACCUGAUGCCUGCGGGAAGCGAAACGAUUGAAGUGUAAACGGCAGCGUGUACGAUGCUCUCAGGCUCCCGGGAAUUUUUCGAUCAGAAGUCCGCACCGCUUUCAUAAAUGAACGAGAGUUGUGAGAGAGCUGUGUGCGAGUCGGAUUCACCGCGUAUCGGAUAUCUCGCGUAUAGCCGUAUUUAAAUAACUAUUCUUUUCCGCGUGAUUACUCAAGCCAUUGUCGCGUUAUGUAACUAGAACUUUAAUUAAAUCGAUUAUUAUUUAGUCGAUUUAUAGUAUGUGAUUGGAAAAUGAUUAUCGCUAUUAUUAUUAAUAUCUACCAGAUUAAUUACUUAAUAAAGUCGUAAAAACGAGGUACUUGACACAGUA